UCUUUAAAAGUGUCUUAGGGCUUAAAAUAUAAACGAUCAAAUCCUCGUCUCUAACCCUUUGUGUGUGUAAAAUGAAGCCUUGCAAAUGAAGCCUUUAAAAAUGGUGGCUCCGAUUGGACUCGAACCAACGACCACUACCA
rnacentral:antisense_RNA from 1 species